rnacentral:tRNA from 5 species
GCCGCUAUAGCUCAGUUGGUAGAGCAACGCAUUCGUAACGCGUAGGUCUCCAGUUCAAGUCUGGAUAGCGGCU